CCUUUCUCCUUUCUCCUGUGUUAGCCUGGACAGAGGUUCGUCAAUUUUAUUACUCUUUCAGAAAACCAGCUCUUGGUUUGAUUGAUUUUUUUCUA